GGUCCAGUAGCUCAGUGGUUAGAGCACUGGCAUAUAUUAGCUAAGAGGUCCUUGGUUCAAUCCCAGGUUGGGUCA